UAGCUGAAAGUUGGUGGGAAAUCAGUGUGAAAUUCAUUGGCUGUUCCUGCAACCGUAAAGUCGGAGCGCCACCCAGCUA
ncrna:unclassified sequences AdoCbl variant RNA